rnacentral:lncRNA from 1 species
AAAACUCUAUGCUCUCAGGGUAGUGAGAGCAACGGAGGCACGGAGGAGAGCCACAAUGGAUAAACUAACGGGCUACGGUAGGACCGCGCUUUGAUUUAUAAUCCGUAGAGAGAUACCAUCUCGUUUGCCAUCCACGAGAGACAAGUGAAAUAACGGUUAAGGGAUCUCACAACCUCGGAAAUAGACCACCAAUUCGACAUGGAUCCGUUGAGCAUCGACAGCGCCUUUUAGAAACCGGCUGCCUCCGCCUGCUUCAAAGGCGGAUUUGGGAUGAGAAGCGUUUAUCGUUUUCUGUACUGUCCUCUCUUCAUAGGUAAAUAAUCUGAUUUCAUUUCCUCGGUAAAAAGCUAUUCUAUAGGCUAGCCAUAUGCUUCUCAUCCUAUAUCGGAACCCUUACUGCUGCCUUCCACGCGGGUGCGCAGCCCUCCAUUGGAUGGCAAAAGAACCAGGACAAAUUUCCUCGCAUUGAAAAUGACUGCCAGCCAUUCACACCAGGUCUGGAUUGAGCGAGGGGAAAGUGGCACAGUCGUCACAAAAAAAGGAAAAAGCAGGAGGGGAAGAAAAAGGCCAACCCCCUUGUCCCUCUUCCCUUAAAUCUCCAUCACCGGAAGCCUUUGGUGCCAUCUGUGCCCCCGGAGAAAAGGACGGGCGAGAUGCCUCCACCCUGUGCCAACGGGGACAAAGGAGCUGCCAGUUAGAGCGGCCCCCCUCGCAGGCAGCCAGAGGACUCUGUGUGACUGACUGGGGCUGAGCUACGGAAGCCAUCUUGAUGGAGAGUCUUGCUGCUGCUCCUAAAAUGGCUGUGUUGGCAUGAGGUCCUGCUGGUGUUGACAACCUCCAGAGGAAGCCUCUUCCACCAGCCCUGAGCCCUUGGCCCUGAGUCCUGGGCCCUGAGUCCUGGGCCCUGAGUCCUGGGCCCUGGGCCCUGGCAGUCGGUCUAGAAGCACCAAUGGGAAUAGCAUAUCAGAUCCCAGGAUGUCAUGCAAGGCCUUCCUCAUUGGCAUCCUCUCCAGUCAAACACUGAGAAAUGAGGGCACUGAAGAAUCCCCCCUAAAGUUAAUGUUUGGAUAGAUUUACUGUAAGGACAAUGUUUGGAGUUAUUUGAAGACAUUGCUUGCAGGAGUUGCACAUGGAUUAUCUGCAGAUAUAUUGCACUUGGGUAAUCAAUGUUCCCCAGCUGAGAGUGAGUGUAUAGUUUCAACAUCAUUUUUAACAUUACAGCAAAAUGUAAAACAAUGUGUGUAUGAUGUUAAAUCAAAAGGGAUGUGAUCAACUUGUGUUCAUUCCUUAAUUUAAGGACGUGUGUGUGUGUGUGUGUGUGUGUGUGUGUGUGUGUGUGUGUGUGUGUGUGUGUGUGUGUGUGUGUGUGUGUGUGUGUGUGUGUGUGUGUGUGUGUGUGUGUGUGGUUUGGUCCCUAUUGUACUCUGUAGAGUACUCUGGAGUGUACUGGGCUUCAGAGAAGCACUACAGUGCCCUAAUGUGUGGGCUGUUUACAAGAGAAGCUCUCUGGAUGUCUAUCCUCUGUCAUGUGCAAUUAGUUACUUUAUGAAUAGAACUGACUACUCUAUGCAAAUAAAUGUGAAUGACUCACCCUCUGGCUGUAUUGCAAAUGUUGUUUAAUGUUUGACUGUCACAGUGAAAAGAAAGACAUUGUUUGGUGAAGAUUCCAUCCAUUUACUGUAUAUCCAUCAAAUGCUGCAUUUUUCCUAUUACAAAUAUUAUCUGCAUGUGUUCAUAGUGAUCAGGGAAUGUUCAACAUGAAAUGUGUUGGAUACAUUAUUGAAGCAGUCAGAUUAAUAGCCGUCUCAUUGCCUGAUUAUUACUAUUAUCCUUAUUCAGAGAGAUAGACAGUACAUACCUGCAGUAAAGAAAGGGACACAUACUUGUACACUAACAUCAUGCAAAGCAUGUUUUUGUAAUUGAGUUCUGACUUGUCAUGACUUCUGUGCUGUUGAAUUGAAUGUGUAUACAGAAUAAAUAAUUCAACAGAUGUCUAAAA